GAUGAACGCUAGCGGCAGGCCUAACACAUGCAAGUCGAGGGGUAACAUAGAAAAGCUUGCUUUUCUGAUGACGACCGGCGCACGGGUGCGUAACGCGUAUACAACCUACCUUUUAGCGGGGAAUAGCCCAGGGAAACUUGGAUUAAUGCCCCAUAGUAUAUAGACUUCUCCUGAAGUUUAUAUUAAACAUUUAUGGCUAUUAGAUGGGUAUGCGUCCUAUUAGUUAGUUGGUAAGGUAACGGCUUACCAAGGCAGCGAUAGGUAGGGGUCCUGAGAGGGAGAUCCCCACACUGGUACUGAGGCACGGACCAGACUCCUACGGGAGGCAGCAGUGAGGAAUAUUGGACAAUGGGCGAGAGCCUGAUCCAGCCAUGCCGCGUGCAGGAAGACUGCCCUAUGGGUUGUAAACUGCUUUUACAGAGGAAGAACCACCCCCACGUGUGGGGGUUUGACGGUACUCUGCGAAUAAGGAUCGGCUAACUCCGUG
rnacentral:rRNA from 1 species